AAAUUGAAGAGUUUGAUCAUGGCUCAGAUUGAACGCUGGCGGCAGGCCUAACACAUGCAAGUCGAACGGUAACAGGAAGCAGCUUGCUGCUUCGC
rnacentral:rRNA from 3 species